rnacentral:rRNA from 1 species
GACGAACGCUGGCGGCGUGCCUAAUACAUGCAAGUCGAGCGCAGGAAAUCGACGGAACCCUUCGGGGGGAAGUCGACGGAAUGAGCGGCGGACGGGUGAGUAACACGUAAAGAACCUGCCCUCAGGUCUGGGAUAACCACGAGAAAUCGGGGCUAAUACCGGAUGGGUCAUCGGACCGCAUGGUCCGAGGAUGAAAGGCGCUUCGGCGUCGCCUGGGGAUGGCUUUGCGGUGCAUUAGCUAGUUGGUGGGGUAAUGGCCCACCAAGGCGACGAUGCAUAGCCGACCUGAGAGGGUGAUCGGCCACACUGGGACGAAGACACGGCCCAGACUCCUACGGGAGGCAGCAGUAGGGCAUCUUCCACAAGGGACGAAAGUCUGAUGGAGCAACGCCGCGUGAACGAUGAAGGCCUUCGGGUCGUAAAGUUCUGUUGUAAGGGAAGAACAAGUGCCGCAGGCAAUGGCGGCACCUUGACGGUACCUUGCGAGAAAGCCACGGCUAACUACGUGCCAGCCGCCGCAGUAAAAC